UACGUAGGGUGCGAGCGUUGUCCGGAAUUAUUGGGCGUAAAGAGCUCGUAGGCGGUUUGUCGCGUCGAAUGUGAAAUCCCGGGGCUCAACCCCGGGCCUGCAUUCGAUACGGGCAGACUAGAGUUCGGUAGGGGAGUCUGGAAUUCCUGGUGUAGCGGUGAAACGCGCAGAUAUCAGGAGGAACACCGGUGGCGAAGGCGGGUCUCUGGGCAACAACUGACGCUGAGGAGCGAAAGCGUGGGGAGCGAACAGG
rnacentral:rRNA from 1 species